GUCCGGGUGGCGGAACUGGUAGACGCUGAUGACUUAAAAUCCUCUAACCUCUUUGGUUGUGCGGGUUCGAGACCCGCCCCGGGCA
rnacentral:tRNA from 1 species